rnacentral:rRNA from 1 species
AUUGAACGCUGGCGGCAUGCCUUACACAUGCAAGUCGAGCGGCAGCGGGUCCCCGCGAGGGGAUGCCGGCGAGCGGCGGACGGGUGAGGAACACAUCGGAAUCUGCCUGGUUGUGGGGGAUAACGUAGGGAAACUUACGCUAAUACCGCAUGCGACCCUGAGUCGACGGACUUGGGGUGAAAGUGAGGGACCUUCGGGCCUCACGCGACCAGAUGAGCCGAUGUCGGAUAGCUAGUUGGCGGGGUAACGGCCCGCCAAGGCGACGAUCCGUAGCUGGUCUGAGAGGAUGAUCAGCCACAC